rnacentral:rRNA from 1 species
AUGCACGCUGGCGGCGUGCCUAAUACAUGCAAGUCGAGCGAACGGACGAGAAGCUUGCUUCUCUGAUGUUAGCGGCGGACGGGUGAGUAACACGUGGAUAACCUACCUAUAAGACUGGGAUAACUUCGGGAAACCGGAGCUAAUACCGGAUGAUAUUUUGAACCGCAUGGUUCAAAAGUGAAAGACGGUCUUGCUGUCACUUAUAGAUGGAUCCGCGCUGCAUUAGCUAGUUGGUAAGGUAACGGCUUACCAAGGCAACGAUGCAUAGCCGACCUGAGAGGUUGAUCGGCCACACUGGACCUGAGACACGGUCCAGACUCCUACGGGAGGCAGCAGUAGGGAAUCUUCCGCAAUGGGCGAAAGCCUGACGGAGCAACGCCGCGUGAGUGAUGAAGGUCUUCGGAUCGUAAAACUCUGUUAUUAGGGAAGAACAUAUGUGUAAGUAACUGUGCACAUCUGGACGGUACCUAAUCAGAAAACCACGGCUAACUACGU